GCGCUCGCUCCCUCCGGCGAGUACUCCCCCCUUUCGGCGAAGUCGGCGGUGGAGAGGAGGCGUCGCCUCCCUCUCUCUUUCAGCCGCGACCCGUAGCUACCCCGCCGAGUUUCCGGGAUUCUGCCGUCGCCGGACUGGUACUUUGGCUGCGCAUUUGGAAUCUUGUGGGGCACAAAUUUGAGAAAGAUGGAGAGGAGGAGAGGGAGGAAAGAAGAUCUCUUACUGUAGCUCCCUUGACCAAAGCAACCUUAACUUUUAUCUAAGUUUUUGGCUCCCUUGACCAAAGCAACCUUAACUUUUAUCUAAGUUUUUGGCUGCUACAAUUCCAAUAGAGUAGGACUAGCUAUUACUUCAUUCCCCUCUUGAGAAGGGUUUCCCAUGCUUGAAAGGAACUUUUACUUGUAGCUCCAUGCAUCCAAAUGUAUAGUUUGUUUUGUACUUUACUACUCACAUGUAUGUUCCGUAUUUCUCUAGUAAGAGUAUUUCAUUUACUUUUA